rnacentral:rRNA from 1 species
UACGUAGGGCGCAAGCGUUAUCCGGAAUUAUUGGGCGUAAAGAGCUCGUAGGCGGUUUGUCGCGUCUGCCGUGAAAGUCCGGGGCUCAACUCCGGAUCUGCGGUGGGUACGGGCAGACUAGAGUGAUGUAGGGGAGACUGGAAUUCCUGGUGUAGCGGUGAAAUGCGCAGAUAUCAGGAGGAACACCGGUGGCGAAGGCGGGUCUCUGGACAGUUCCUGACGCUGAGGCACGAAGGCCAGGGGAGCAAACGGG